UCCUCCGUGAGUAAUAUUCCAAAUUAUACUGCCUUCUUUUGAUCAAUAGUAUGCUCUAUGUGACUAUAGAGUGUACAGUGUAUUGAGACAAGGAUGCCAGUCAUUCUGUCCAACAAGAUGCAACCAUUCUUUGUCAUUUUAAUUGCUGACAAGUGGAUGCAUUCAUUAUUGGAUUAGCAGAUGUAUAACACGGGCCGAUGAUGACAAGGUUUCGGGAUUCUAAGUCGCAGACGAUGACUGAAUUUACAGAGAUCUGAGGUCCACAGCACAACAUGCCUCGUGACCCUCUCAUGCAGUGGUUGCUUGUCAGGCGUGUUCAGCACAUACGAGACAUUAGCGGUACACUCUCAUUGUUCCCGAGUGGAUCAUUGAAGCAACACACAAAUCCACAGGCACAUAAAUCAUUUAAGGCCUUGGUCAAUCCUGGCCAUCAAUGACUGAUAUUGAUACACACAGAAACUCCAUUUCGAAUGACUUGCAUAAAGGUUUAUAUAACCUUUAUCCAAAGGUGAUUUAUAUAGUAAAAUUCAUGGCUUAAGUCUUUUUGAUGGUCAAGGCCUUACAUUUCAAAAUUAUCAUUUUUUUUAACUUGAUUUCUUAAGAAAACAACCACAACAAUUUGACUCUUAAAUAGUGAAAGGACAAAUGUAAAAAUAGAUGGACAAAUCUCUAUCUUUUUACUAUCUCUGCUGUUUUGUACACCCUGGAUGAGUGCUGACACGUGAUUCCCUGCCUGGGAGGUCCAUGGUUGACCUAUCACCAUGCGGAUGGAGCUCAGAAAGUGAUAAUACAUUCUGCCACCAAGAUGAUUUUCACACUAUCGUUUGAUCAUGAGCCCCAUAAGAAGCUGUUACAUACAGAUUGUAAUAUAGACACAGUAAUGUAUCCCUCCAAGCUGAUUGACAUGUUCUUCCUUAGUCUUGAAGUUUGAGCUUUCCCUGUUUGUGUCUGCAUUGAGAUAGUAAUGGCUAUCCUGCAAGCUGACUUCACCUGAAAAUCAACCUCGUGAUCUAGCCUUUGUGUUCGGGGAUAGUUAGUGAUGGAGUCCCCCCACGUUGAUUUAGAAAUUCUCUCUUGGUCAUAACUGUCAUAGUCAUCUCUAGAUUCUUUAUAGAUACCAGAUCGGAUACCCC